rnacentral:sRNA from 1 species
UUGGGGCUUAGGAAAAAAGGAAAUGGGCACUUUUUCAGCCUUUUAGUCUUUGAUAGGUAACGUAGGAGAAAGACAUGAAUGGAAGACUAGUAGGUUUCCCAGGCUAGAAAAGAUAGCCAAAGCUAGAAACCAGGCGUUCUGAGAGCAUAUGAGGGGGAAUGGAGUGGCAUGAUCUGUAGUGAUUCCAAGCCGUAUCCUCAGCAGUGGAAGAACAAAGCCCUAAACCCUGGGAUGAGCAGAGGACUUAAUGGAUGGAACAGAAAAGUCCUGCACUCUAGGAGCCAUUGUCUUCACAGGGCGGAGGCUCAGCUGUGAUUGACAUGGAGAACAUGGAUGAUACCUCAGGCUCUAGCUUCGAGGAUAUGGGUGAGCUGCAUCAGCGCCUGCGCGAGGAAGAAGUAGACGCUGAUGCAGCUGAUGCAGCUGCUGCUGAAGAAGAGGAUGGAGAGUUCCUGGGCAUGAAGGGCUUUAAGGGACAGCUGAGCCGGCAGGUGGCAGAUCAGAUGUGGCAGGCCGGGAAGAGACAAGCCUCCAGGGCCUUCAGCUUGUACGCCAACAUCGACAUCCUCAGACCCUACUUUGAUGUGGAGCCUGCUCAGGUGCGAAGCAGGCUCCUGGAGUCCAUGAUCCCUAUCAAGAUGGUCAGCUUCCCCCAGGUGAAUAGAGGGUGGCAUGUCUGGGGAGCCGGGGGAAGCACCAGGGCAGAGGGUGGGACCACCAGGCAAAUCCUGGGAAGCCAUAAACAGAUGAGCUGUUGUACCGUCCAGCCUGAAUGAGUUGGUAUAUUGACAGAAA